GCAGUCGAGGGGCAUCAGGAAGAAGCUUGCUUUCUUUGCUGGCGACCGGCGCACGGGUGAGUAACACGUAUCCAACCUGCCCUUUACUCGGGGAUAGCCUUUCGAAAGAAAGAUUAAUACCCGAUAGCAUAAUGAUUCCGCAUGGUUUCAUUAUUAAAGGAUUCCGGUAAAGGAUGGGGAUGCGUUCCAUUAGGUUGUUGGUGAGGUAACGGCUCACCAAGCCUUCGAUGGAUAGGGGUUCUGAGAGGAAGGUCCCCCACAUUGGAACUGAGACACGGUCCAAACUCCUACGGGAGGCAGCAGUGAGGAAUAUUGGUCAAUGGGCGUUAGCCUGAACCAGCCAAGUAGCGUGAAGGAUGAAGGCUCUAUGGGUCGUAAACUUCUUUUAUAUAAGAAUAAAGUGCAGUAUGUAUACUGUUUUGUAUGUAUUAUAUGAAUAAGGAUCGGCUAACUCCGUGCCAGCAGCCGCGGUAAUACGGAGGAUCCGAGCGUUAUCCGGAUUUAUUGGGUUUAAAGGGAGCGUAGGUGGACUGGUAAGUCAGUUGUGAAAGUUUGCGGCUCAACCGUAAAAUUGCAGUUGAUACUGUCAGUCUUGAGUACAGUAGAGGUGGGCGGAAUUCGUGGUGUAGCGGUGAAAUGCUUAGAUAUCACGAAGAACUCCGAUUGCGAAGGCAGCUCACUGGACUGCAACUGACACUGAUGCUCGAAAGUGUGGGUAUCAAACAGGAUUAGAUACCCUGGUAGUCCACACAGUAAACGAUGAAUA
rnacentral:rRNA from 1 species